rnacentral:lncRNA from 1 species
CGCUCCCGGCGGAGGCGGAGCGCCCAGGGAAGGCGACGCGCGAGAAAAAGGAGGCGGGAGGGCGCGGCAAAGGAAGACCUCUCUGCAGCUCCAGCUCCAGCUCCACGUGAGGACACAGCGCGAGGCACCGUCUGCAGGUGGGGAAGUGACCCUGCCAGGACCUCGAUCUUGGACUUCUGGCCUCCAGGACCGAGAAAGAACGAUUUCGAAGAAGCAGAGAAUAAGUAACACAAAAGGGAUUCUACUGCCUGGUUUCAAGAUUUCCUUCAAAGGUCCUGGUGGUAGUGUGGGGAUGGCCCCAGAGCAGUUACAUAGAAAUCGGCAGCCAGCCAGAUCCAGAUGGGUACAGUCAGGAUUUUUUUUUUUAAACAAAGGAGCCAACAUUACUCAACGGGGAGAGAAAACGUCUUUUCAACA